rnacentral:rRNA from 1 species
AAAACGUGGUGGCAGGAGCAGAGGUAAGAGAAAGUGGGGUAAGGGUGUGCGGAAUGAGUGGGCGUAAGGCGAGUGUAGGAGGGGUUGCAUGUCAGAGGGGAAAGCCUGGGGCUGAACGCCAGAGUUGACUGUGAAACGGGAAGGGUUGAGUCCUAGAGAGGAUGGCGGAAUUCCUAGUGUAGAGGUGAAAUUCGUAGAUAUUAGGAAGAACACCGGUGGCGAAGGCGGCCAUCUGGCUCGGUACUGACGCUCAGGUUCGAAAGCGUGGGGAGCAAACAGGAUUAGAUACCCGAGUAGUC